rnacentral:rRNA from 1 species
UACGUAGGGUGCGAGCGUUGUCCGGAAUUACUCGGCGUAAAGAGCUCGUAGGUGGUUUGUCACGUCGUCUGUGAAAUUCCGGGGCUUAACCUCGGGCGUGCAGGCGAUACGGGCAAUACUUGAGUGCUGUAGGGGGAGACUGGAAUUCCUGGUGUAGCGGUGAAAUGCGCAGAUAUCAGGAGGAACACCGAUGGCGAAGGCAGGUCUCUGGGCAGUAACUGACGCUGAGGAGCGAAAGCAUGGGUAGCGAACAGGAUUAGA